CUGAUACUCCCUCCGUCUCAAAAUUCUUGUUUUAAAAUUUGUUUAGAUAUGAAUGUAUCUAGUCAAGUUUUAGUAUUUUGAUAAAUCCAUUUCUAAACAAAAGUUAAGACAAGAAUUUUGAAACGGAGGAAGUAUUAU
rnacentral:pre_miRNA from 1 species